AUGAACGAUGAUGUGAGGAAGCAAGAGAAGCAAAAGGGAAGAGGGGGUGGAAGCGGAGGAGGAAGGCUGGCGAGGAUGCUGCGGGAGUACAGGGCCAGGCUCUACAUCAUCCGGCGCUGCGUCGUCAUGCUGCUCUGCCACCAUGACUGA
rnacentral:rRNA from 1 species